rnacentral:rRNA from 1 species
UACGUAGGGGGCUAGCGUUGUCCGGAUUUAUUGGGCGUAAAGAGCGUGUAGGCGGCCAGGUAGGUCUGGUGUGAAAACUCGAGGCUUAACCUCGAGAUGUCAUCGGAAACCAUCUGGCUAGAGUCCGGAAGAGGAGAGUGGAAUUCCUGGUGUAGCGGUGAAAUGCGCAGAUAUCAGGAAGAACACCUAUGGCGAAGGCAGCUCUCGUGGGACGGUACUGAGCUGAGACGCGAA